UACGAAGGGGGCUAGCGUUGCUCGGAAUCACUGGGCGUAAAGCGCACGUAGGCGGAUUGUUAAGUCAGGGGUGAAAUCCUGGAGCUCAACUCCAGAACUGCCUUUGAUACUGGCGAUCUCGAGUCCGGGAGAGGUGAGUGGAACUGCGAGUGUAGAGGUGAAAUUCGUAGAUAUUCGCAAGAACACCAGUGGCGAAGGCGGCUCACUGGCCCGGUACUGACGCUGAAGCGCGAAAGCGUGGGGAGCAAACGGG
rnacentral:rRNA from 1 species